rnacentral:lncRNA from 1 species
GUUGUGCCAAGCAGCAGGGAGGUGUGCCGCCGCGGGAGUGCCUACAGCCGGCGGCGGCGACAACAGCGGCAGGCGGCCACAGGGCUGACGGGAUUUGUUUUUCAUAGGUACUUUUGUUGUUCGGAGCAGAGGGGGCAGGCAAGGCCACGUGGAGGAGGACAGCGCGGUGCCGCCUUCAAAGCGGCGCCGGCGCGCAGGUUGAGACCUCGUUGUUGUGUGUGGUUACAAGGUGGUGAGCACGACGUGCAUUCCUGUCCUUGUAGAAACCUAGGCCCGGGCCGGGGGGCCCUUAUAACGCCUGCAACACUUAUAUAUGCAGCUAGUUUGGUCCCCGAAUGGGGGUGCUUAUGCUCCUGUGCUCCCAAAUGGAAUCUAGUAACGCGGCUAACCUGGCUGGGUCCGCAUUCUGCAUGACGGCCUGCAUUCCGCCUGUAAAAUCGAUCUCGCUACCCAAACGCAACUGGUCGUAGGCCGGAGACCUGCCGGUGUUGUCUGGUUAGCGACCUGUGCUGACGAGCAUGGCGUAGCAGGCAGUCGGCUGCAGCGGCAGGGGUGUUUUCCUUGCUGUCUGGUUGGCCUGCUGCCUGCUGCACUAGUGCUUGAUAGCUGGGCGCGACUGGGCACAUAUGGCGGGCGGUGCCUGUACAAACCGACCCCGGCUAUGUCCGGGAGAUGAGGCUAGUAUCGGAACCUUCGGCCUCAGACGGAG